AAAAAAAAAAGUAAUUAUGUGGCCACAACAAACAAAUAGUUGUAACAGGAUGGAUGUAAUUCAGCAUUGAUAAACUCAGUUCUAAUCAAGAACAGUGUAAAAAAAAUCCGCUUUACCAAGAACAACAUAUGUUACCUUGUUAAGCUAAUAGGUAACAAUCUUGAACUCCCCACCGACCCCACUAUGGACCAAGCACAUUUCACUGCAAACAUUAGAAUCAAUAAGUUGAGUUAGAAUCAAUAAGUUGAAUGAUGCUC
rnacentral:misc_RNA from 1 species